rnacentral:rRNA from 1 species
GGUGCUGCAUGGCUGUCUUAAGUCGUGUUGUGAAAUGUUGGAUUAAUUCAUCAACGGGCGCAACCCACUCUAUAAGUUAUUUUGGAUAAGAUUUAUUUGAAAACUUAAGGUAAUGUUUUUAAGGAGAACAUGACAGUGGUAACGUCAAGUCAAUAUGGCCUCUAUAAGUUGGGCUACACACGUAAUACAAAGGCAUUGACAAUAGAUGCAAUAAUGUGAAUUAAAGCUAAUCUAUAAAAUAUGUCUAAGUUCAGAUAUUCUCUGUAAUUCGAGAAUAUGAAGGAGGAUCGCUAGUAAUCGUACAUUAGAACGGUACGGUGAAUUUUCCUUGGUUU